CUCUACCCCUGAGGAUGGUUCUGCUCUCACUGCCUGGGCUGCCUCCCUGCUGGCUGUUGUCAAGAUGAUAGCAUAUGUUUCCAGAGAGAUGACAUGGGAAAAACUAUCUCUGGAAUUGCCACCCCAGAGCCUACUGCAGAUCCGCAAAGCCACCUUUGGAACAAGAGGGAUGCUUCACACACAAGGAAGAUGCUCUUAAGGGUUUCAUGCAAGUCAGUGGAUGCUUGAUAUUUUCACUUUAAAGGGCAUUUAAAGGCCAACUUCAAUUGCAAGAGACUGUUUUGGUAUGAGAGCAGUAACACAGGAAGUUGCCCAGCUGGGGAUGAAGACACAAGAGCCUACUGCAGAACCACAGCUUCUCAGACCUUUGUACGUGCACAAGCCCUCUGUCUCACCUCCAAUAGAAAGCCAUCCAUCCCCUGUGGGAAUAUUUCUCCCGGGGUAACAACUUUACUAGGAAACUCAGCUAAGAGGCACAUUAACUGUCCAGCAGCCUAUUGGGAAGAGUGGUAGAGGGGGCGAUGUUAAGUCAGGAGGAGAUCGUGUGUGUGGACCAGGAGAAAUACAGCCUUUCAUGACAUUGAGCAUUGUGAGAAGAGUGAGAACACAUUUUCAGAUCAUCAGAAAUGAUUACCAAUUGAAAAGAACGCAGUGUUGCCUUUGCCAUAAUGAGAGGGGCUGAGAGGGCAGCUACAGCAAGGAUGUGGAGAGAAGCAGGGACAGUGAGUCUCCAGCAGCAGGGAGAACAGGGGCCACCCAGACCAGGAGACAGCAUCUAGAGGACUGGGGACAGUGGGCUAUUGCUCUGGCAUCUUCAUUUUCUGUUCCCUUCCACCCACUAGGCAGCCUUUGAAUCUUGAUUUAGCUUCCCUAGUAGACUUUCCUCCUGAAAAGACACAGUUCCCCUUAGAAAAAAAUGCAUGGCCUUUCUGUCUCAGACCAGUUUCAUUUGUUUGCACAGUAUAAGCCAGAUUUCCCCUAGAACCUGAUUAUCCUGGGUAAGCUGAAAAGCCAAAGUGAUAUGACCAGAGCUUGGCAACUCUUCAGAUAUGAGGGAUAAACGUUGAAGAAAGAGUCAAAGAUAACAUUAAAUUUCUAAGCCAGAGUUCCCAGAAGGAUGAUAUACUGCAUACAGAAUAGGAAAAGGUAGAAUCUAUCAAAGUAUUGACCUUCAGGCCUUCCCUCACCACCAACCCUCUAUCUUAAUAUCUUGUGGUGGAGGGUCUGUUGGAAAUAGUCUGUAAUUUCAGGGGCCAUAUUUCACUUCCACAUUCAUUUAAUAAUAAUUAUGUAUUAGGUGCUUACCACGUGCAGGACACUGAAAUGGAUGUUAUGAGAUUGUACAAGGAUGAAAGACUUAGCAUAUCAUCCAAGAAGCACAUUAGAAUUGCGUAGGGAAUAUAAGGCACAUGUAUAAGUAAUGGAAAAUGCAAAUGUAUUUGAUGCUGUCAGCUACAAAUAAGAGAAAAUUCCAACUUUUAAUUUGAUUCAAAGAACAAAAUAAAUGUAUUGUCUCACUUACCAAGAAACCUAGAAAUACGGUGAUUCUGCGAUUGGUUAAUAUAACAGCCUCAGAAUGUCCUCAUGGAUGCAGGUUCUGUCCAUCUUUCCCCUCUGCUAUCUAGGUACGUUGGCCUUGGUCCUCAAGCUUGUCCCCUCACAGACACAAGAGGGCCACAGUUCCAGUCAUUA
rnacentral:lncRNA from 1 species